CCUACGGGAGGCAGCAGUGAGGAAUAUUGGUCAAUGGGCGGGAGCCUGAACCAGCCAAGUCGCGUGAGGGAAGACGGUCCUACGGAUUGUAAACCUCUUUUGCCGGGGAGCAACGGGGUCCUUGCGAGGGCCCGAUGAGAGUACCCGGAGAAAAAGCAUCGGCAAACUCCGUGCCAGCCGCCGCGGUAAUACGGGGGAUGCGAGCGUUAUCCGGAUUUAUGGGGUUUAAAGGGUGCGUGGGCGGGCUGUUAAGUCCGCGGUAAAAUGUCGGGGCUCAACCCCGGCCUGCCGUUGAAACUGGCGGCCUCGAGUGGGCGAGAAGUAUGCGGAAGGCGUGGUGUAGCGGUGAAAUGCAUAGAUAUCACGCAGAACUCCGAUUGCGAAGGCAGCAUACCGGCGCCCGACUGACGCUGAGGCACGAAAGCGUGGGUAUCGAACAGGAUUAGAUACCCUUGUAGUC
rnacentral:rRNA from 1 species